rnacentral:rRNA from 1 species
GGGUCAGUAGGUUGGUCGUGCCACCGGUACGUACUGGUCUCACUGAUUCCUCCUUCCUGAAGAACCGUAAUGCCAUUAAUUUGGUGUUGCGGGGAAACAGGGCCGUUACUUUGAAAAAAUUAGAGUGUUUAAAGCAAGCUAACGCUUGAAUACAUUAGCAUGGAAUAAUGAAAUAGGACGAUCGAUCCUAUUUUGUUGGUUUCUAGGAUUGACGUA